GGCACACAGCUGAGAUAUUUGGAAAUAUUUUGAUUCAUUUGGUGUCUUGCUGUUUAAGAUUUGGUCAGACAUUUCUAAAUGGAGUCUUCUGUGGACACCUUUGAGCACUGAAUGACAGAUGGCAUAGAGUGAUGGAUAAAGAAAUGGACCCAGAUAGGAGAUCUGGAUUCUAACCCUUCCUCCCUCGCUAUGUGACCCAAUUUAAGUGCCAGGAGUUGAAAUGCAUUCAAGAGUUCCAGAAUAAGGAUCAAUUGCUAACACGACACCAUGACCAUGUCCCUCAAUGUCACUGUACAAUUCCCUCAACGAAUGACAAGUUGUGUUUCUCCUGACUUGUCUGAACUGGAUCGGUUUCUGCUUU